GUGGGGAAUCUUGCACAAUGGAGGAAACUCUGAUGCAGCGACGCCGCGUGAACGAUGAAGCCCUUCGGGGUGUAAAGUUCUUUCGACAGGGACGAUAAUGACGGUACCUGAAGAAGAAGCUGCGGCUAACUACGUGCCAGCAGCCGCGGUAAUACGUAGGCAGCGAGCGUUGUUCGGAAUUACUGGGCGUAAAGAGUGCGUAGGUGGUUGACUAAGUUUGGUGUGAAAUCUCCCGGCUUAACUGGGAGGGUGCGCCGAAAACUGGUUGGCUAGAGUGUGGGAGAGGGACGUGGAAUUCCUGGUGUAGCGGUGAAAUGCGUAGAUAUCAGGAGGAACACCUGAGGUGUAGACGGCGUCCUGGACCAUUACUGACACUGAGGCACGAAAGCGUGGGUAGCAAACAGGAUUAGAAACCCUUGUAGUCC
rnacentral:rRNA from 1 species